rnacentral:lncRNA from 1 species
GGGCCUCAGGGCAGGAGCUGUGCACAGCCCUGGUAGGUAGUUGUCUGGGCAUAUUCCAGCUCUAGCCCUUUUGUUAUGACCUUUGGCCAAGCUCCUAAUCUUUUAAACUAUUUAUAAAAUAAACAUAAGAUCAUGUAUAUGAAAAUGAACUGCAAAUUACUAUAUCAUUUCUGAUCUAAAGGUUGAUGGUGAUUAAAAGGCUGGUGAUUUCCAUUUUUUGCCAGUGCUUCCCAAGAGAAUUUUUAUAGGAGAGGGUGAGGAGAUGGUUUAUUAUUCUUAUCACCAAAUGAGGAGAGUCCUUGGCCUCCUUGGUAGGGCCCUGAUUA